rnacentral:rRNA from 1 species
UACAGAGGUCUCAAGCGUUGUUCGGAUUCAUUGGGCGUAAAGGGUGCGUAGGUGGCGCGCUAAGUCAGGUGUGAAAUUUCGGAGCUUAACUCCGAAACUGCAUUUGAUACUGGCGUGCUUGAGGACUGGAGAGGAGACUGGAAUUCACGGUGUAGCAGUGAAAUGCGUAGAUAUCGUGAGGAAGACCAGUGGCGAAGGCGGGUCUCUGGACAGUUCCUGACACUGAGGCACGAAAGCGUGGGGAGCAAACAGG